rnacentral:lncRNA from 1 species
GCUUUGUGGUCUGGAAACUGAAGAAGAUGACCUCUUCUUUAUUUCCAGAGUGGCUUGCCAUCCUCAAAUCCUUCCCUAGAUCAUAUCAUUUCCAUCCUAGCCCAAUCCCAAUAUUCUUUUUAUUGGGAAUAUUCCUUUUCUAUUAAAGGAAUCAUCCUUUUUGCCCUAGGUUGUGAAGCAACCUAUAUUUCCAUCACUCCUAAAAUUCCCAAAUAAUUCUCAUAAAUUGGUUGUGUCAUAUCUUCCUCAAAUAUGGCAAAACAUUUCAUUUGCCAUGUUUAUCAUCAUGCUCAAAUAAUUCAUUUCCUAUUCUGCCCUAAAUGGCACAUUGUGAAGCAAGUGAUAUUUGCCUUUGCCCAAUUGACGUCAAACUCCUUGGACAGCUUUUCCUGUCCAUAUCACUGCCACAUGCCAAAACGCAACUUCAUUUGCCUAGUAGUCACUUAAUUAUGAUUUUCCAAAGUUUCUGUCCAGAAAGAAACUUUGUGAAGGAGGUACAAGCUAGACAUAUCCAAAUGAGUUGCACUUUUGCAUGGUCCUUAAUAUCAUCAAAUCAUAUACCUCCACCAAAGUUGAGCUCAUUUAAUGCCUCCAUGUGAGCACAACUUCAAAUCUUUGAUUCUGUCCAAAAUUUUAGUUUGUGAAGCAAGUAUAUUUUAUCUUGCUUCAUUAUGGCUGUAUGUUUUUCUAGGCCUUCUCCUAUCCAUAUAAAAUACCUCCACCAAGUUGUGGCUCAAUCCAUUUAGCCAUUUUACCUCUAGAAUUUCUGCAAGUUUCUGUCCAGAGAGGACCACUAUGAAGGAAGUAUCACUUUGCCUUUUCCAAAUGGUAUGAAAUUUAUAUGGAAUUCUAAUAUGCCCAAAUCAUCUAGCGUUGCCCAUUUUCAGCUCAAGUGGCUUCAUAAUUUGAGUGCUUUUUCCUGAUCAAGUUUUUGGACCAGAUUAUGUAGUUGCAAAGCAACUAUAUUAAUUCUUGGUCCAAAUCACCUCCAAAUCUCCAGGAUCAUAGUCCUUCCAUAGUAAAACACCCCAGACAACCCCAUUUGGCCCAAUCAAAAUGCUGUUGAUCAACAGUGCUCAUCCAAAACUGAUACAACAAACUUCAGGCGAUCACUCACAUGUCUCCUUUGGACUUCUGCGUGAUCUAUCACCUCCCUCGGCCUCUAGUAUGAAAGGACUAAACCCUAGACAACUUUUCCUGCCUCUUGCAUCCCCUCCUUGCCGGUCACGGUGGUGACCGCGUCAUUUGCACGCGCUCUGGCAGCAAUGGACGCGAGCUGAGCGUCGUUUGCUUCGGGCCCCUCCUCGGUUCGUCGUGCUCGCGCGCCUCGUCAUGUCCAACAGCUAACCCGCAUUGUCGUCGUCCCCCUGGAGCCGUCUACCCUUCCCGAAGCCUCCUCGCUGGCGCUCGUCGCCGUUUGCCCAUGUGCGAACUGUAGCCGACCGGCUGUGUUCACGCCGCGGCAGCUUCCCUCUCUUGUCCCCGAGCUCCGCUCGUCUCCAUGACCUCUGGCGCUUGUCCGUUCCCCCCCGUCGUCUUCCCCGAGCUCAUGCGCGAGCACACGCGUCCGCAGCGCCGUCCACGCGUCCGCGGCGACGCGAGCUCGGCCAUGACCUCGCACGGCUAUAUAAGCCCACCCCAAGGUGCCCCGACCUCACCAUCGGCCUCACCUCACUCCCAGACCCCCCGCCCUAGCUAGUCUCCCGAGCCCCGGAGCCCCUCCUCGCCGCAGUAGGCCGCCAUGGCCGCCACACGGCCUCGGCUAAAUUCCGCCAAGUCGAUCUCCCUCUCCUCCUUCUACAACCACCAGCGCUCCACCUAGUCCUCGAAGAUCCUCCCCAUCUCCUCCGUUAGUCGCCGGACUCGCCGUAGCCCCAACCCCAUCCACGCCCGAAGCUCUCGUCCACUGGCGUCGAAACCUCCGUCGACUCGGUCCACUCCGGCGACCGUGGAUGGGACCACUCGAUGUGUCACUCGACGCUGAGCAGUUUCGUAGGCGGAGCAUCGCCGGAGAUGCCCCGUAGCUCCGGCAGGCCUCGUCGUGGCUGGCUCUGCCGCGGCCAGGCGCGGGCGAGAGGAGGGAGAUGACGCUGCCGACACCAGCUCACCAGUGGGCCCCGGCGACCCCACCCGUCAGCCGCACAGGGGGUUGACCCGGCGAAGCUGACGUGGAUAAGUGGACGCGGGAAUUGCCCGUAUGCGCUUUCCCCUUACGAAAGCAUACUCUACUCUUCUUCGGGCCAAAAUGCGUUUUCCAUUCUAGAAAACGUAUUUUCUGAGAAGGCGCUUUCGGUUUUUCCGGUUGAGGGCUUGUUUGUGAUGAUUUCAUUACAGAUAGGUCCCUGGCAGAAAAACUCUUAUAACUUCUUGCCCGUAACUCCGAUUGAGGUGAAUCCAAAGCCCACUUCUUCGUCUCGUGGAGCCCGAACUUUUGGUAUCAUUUUCACUAUGGUUUGACAUACUGGAAAUGACCAUUUUGCUCCUGCCCCUAAUCAGCCCCCUCCGAGAGCGAACCCUUUCCGGCGAUUCUUUCCGCGGCUUCACCGCACUUCCCCCCGGAGCCUUCUCCAUGCCCAGGCAAGCCACAACCACCAUUUGCAUGAUAGCCAUGCAGAAGCAUUGGAUUUCAACAAGAAUCUUAAAUAACUGUUUGUUUGCUUUGCUGCUAUUGUCGGUAUUUCGUUUAUGCUUAUGGAUCGGUGUUUACCAUCAUGCUUUGUUUUCCUUGCACUCUGUUAUUAUGUUCUUCAUGCUAGUACUGGCCAUGCUUAGUAAUAAUACAUUUGGUGAUGGUCUUCGGUGCAUGAUUAUCGUUUGUUCCGAGUACCGUUGUUAUGUAUGUUAUUUUGCACCGAGUUGGUUAAAUAUUUGCAUGGUAGUUUUAUCGUUUGCAUGAUAUUUAUUAUUGAUGCUAGUGUUCAUGUCAUGCUAUGAGUAGUGUUCUAGUUGUGAUAUUCAUGCUCGUUAGUAUGCCAUGCUCAUUUGGUUAAAUGAUUAAAUGUCGUUAUUAUGCUUGCGGAUUAUGUUGCACCCCCAUGCUCAUGUUGAUAUCAUGUUCAUGCAUUGUAGUUGCAUCAUGUUAUUUUUAUCAUGGCUCAGUAUAUUGCAUUCAAGUUUAAUCGGAUUAUAUUGAACUUGAACAACUGUUGGCUGAGUCAUGGUGCCACCAGAUCGAGCUGACCAGUGCAACCACAUUUGCCUUGUGUGUGGCAAAGGCCCUAACGGUGCCUCCAACGUAGGGAAGGUUAUGCGCGAGCGCUACGUUGGCCAGGUAGGACGGCAUAAGCCUUGUGAGCCCGAGUUGUUUGCGCGCUUUUUCCCCGUUUGGGACCUUUUUUGCCAUGACGGUGGCCGUAAGACCUUUGGUAGGCAUGGGCCACCCAGGACUGAACCCAAAAGGGGUGUUGGUUGGAGUGGCCGGGAGAGUGCCAUGGCAAUAGAUCGGAUUUACUAGAACGUCGUUGGUCCACCCGAAUGGGAGAGCGAGGCCAUGGGUUUCGUGGUGUGGGUACAGUGCGCUACCUCUGCAGAGUGUGUGUUUGUGUUAAAUCUAUCGAUAGCCGCGCCCGCGGAUAUGGGCCCAGUUCGUGUCGGUCACACUAUGGGUCAACAGUAAUAAUAAUGAUGUUCUUAAUAACAACCCCGGUUCGAUGAUGAAAGAAGUUGGUUGAUAUUUAUGUGAUCGUGAGAGGAUCAUUGUGGUAUCAUGAAUACCAACUUGUUGGAUAUUUGUGGUGUUAUGCGAGAGUCAAGGGUAAAAGUCAAGCUCCUUGUGAUCAUAAAUGAUUGCUACGGUAUUGUUAAUACCAAGCUUGAUUGGAUCCUGAGAUGAUCGUGUGAUAUCCGUGAUGGUAAGUGAUACAGGUGAUGGUUACAAGGUAACUAGAGCAAAGUAAGUUGGUGCAUGAUAGUUGCAUCAUGUUGCAUGCUAGGCUCAUCUUGUUCAUAUGUUCAUGCCAUGCUCGUAUUGUUCUAGCUGUAUCAUCUUGUUCAUGCUAUGAUUGAUCUGAUAGUAUCAUGUUAAUCCUUGUUAACCUUUAAUUGCCAUGUUGUUGUUUGUCUUGAUUGGUUUGGUUGCUGUGAGCUUGCAAGUACAUUCAAUGUACUGACCUGGCGUGUCAUGCCAGCUUGCAGGUCAUGCCGGAUAUGAUUCCUUGUUUGCCGUGGAUUCCUUGUUUGCGAGCUAGGAUAAGCAUUCCAGCCAGAGUCCCUGUGGAGUGGAGUUCACCACCGUCGUCGCUUUUCCGCUACCAGUAGUCCGCUGCAUCGUGUUGUUCUACUGCUUGCAUGGAGCAACCGUGGCAGAUGUAGUGUCGACGUGCCGAUGUAAUCCCCUUGUACCCAUAUAGAUUGCAAUAAAGAGCUGAUUUGUUCUAUGCUAAGCAGUGCCGUAUUCCAGAAGACUUCUCCUCGAUCUCUGGGCUAGAAUACGGGGCGUUCCGGUUUCUCUGAGCCGGGGUGCCACAGGCUUGGUAUCAGAGUAGGUCUGGCUGUAGGAUUCCCUAGCCCGCGCGAAUGUUAGAAUGCGGUAGUAUAGAGUCUGGGUGGUUUGUUGCACUUGAUUGCUGUAUUCGUUUGUUGCAUAGCAUGCAUAUAGAUUAUUAUCUUGUCGCUAACGGUUAAUCUUGUGAGUGUAGGUGGUAUCGGUUUCGAUCCACUACCUGCACCCUCCUUCUUAGCAUGCCUGCUCUUCGGUGUUCGGCGUUAUCUCUGUCCCAGCAGAGUGAUGCCCUGGUGCCAAAUGUUCCAGACACCAUUUGCAAGAGUUAUGCUCAGGUAUCGCGUCGAUAUCUUUCCGCCACCCACCCAUAUUAUUUUGGUGAUAGACUCGUCUCUAUCCCCAAUCGUGCCAUCCAUAUCGUCCCUUUGGCAACCCUUAACGAUCUUUGUUAUCAGAAAAGGGCAAUGCUAGCAAAGCCCCACUUUCCACCGCUAUAAUGCCAUGUCAUCCCAUUCUUUGGACGUGUACGAUUCCCCUUCGUACGCUUGAUGAUGACGUGGUCGUGACCUUGUGUCUCGCUACUUGAUCACCAAGUCCGUCCUCGCCCCGUAUCCAUCCGAUUGCGACCGGUGUUCAGACAACGCUUGGUGUAGCCUUGGUUACACCAACUCCUUCCACACGUGAAUUCACUUUCGUGCACACCGCCACAGCAUAUUAGAUCGCAAUACCGGAGUUUUUGUGACACUUGUGUGCUUAGGUGUGCAUGCAUAUUAUUGUGUGAGUAGGAGUAAUAUGUGAUGUUGCUUUAUUAUUUAUAUUAUUUGUAUGCUUGUGUGUUUGUUUUGUUGUUUUCGUCGUUUCUUCUGCUUCUUUCUUUGGGCCUUCGGUGUGGCAUUAUUUUCCCCUUAUUAAAGUUGCUCAUCAACCGACACCGGACCUGAAGAAUCAGGAAGGAAUUCAAAUACUUGGAAGCUCAGAUAAAUGGAAUGAAGUUAUCAGCAGACUGCAAUGAAAUUGGAAUACCUUGUCUGAAUGCGAAAGAAAUCCUGGAUGGACUGACACUAUCAAGUUUGCAUCAGUAUGGAAUUCUCAGCCGACUGCAUUGAGAUCUGGGGAUAUCUGAUCGUGAUACAGAUAAUCAAGUUUGCCUCAGUGUGCACUCUUCAUGGCAGUAAUGAUCAGAUCAGCAAGAAGAUAAGCUAUGUGCAAGACCAACAAUGCAAUUUCAGUCAAAGGUAUGGUUCAGAUACAAGGUUUGAUUCUUCAUGGAGGAUGAUUUUGACACAUGAUAUGCCUGGAAAAAGCAAGGAUGUGCCACAUACUCAGAAAGGAGGAUGGUCCAGCAAUUCCUGUUUCAGCACGAAGCCCAGUCUUCCUCAGCAAGAUACUCUCGAUGGUUUUCAGCCUAAGUCAUCCAAUCGUCCUCAGUACGACACUGGUGCAAGAUAGUACAAUGUGAAUUGACAGCAGAUGGCAGAAUCAGAUCCGCAACAGUUGGUCAGAAGCAAGAAUCAGUCAGAACACAAGUCUGCCUCGGGAAUCAGAUUCUCACAUAUAUGUGAAGGAUGCCAGAUAUACACCUCAAUGUGACAAAGGACUAUGAGGAUUGACGACAACUCUGAGCUCUGUACAAGUACCAGUGAACCUGGAAGAUGAUCUUGAUGAGCCCUUGUCUGCUUUUCUUCAGUGCCGGCACCACGCCUGUGAUCUGAGCUGUUUUUAGCUAUCCGGGGUGGAUACCGAUUUUUAUUUCUCUCUUCAACGACUGUCAUGAGUUCUGAGCUGCUUUUCGGCCGUCUCAUACAGCUGUUGAGUUUCUUUUUGUGACAGUAGCCCUAUAGCUGCUUUUGGCUAUUUUAGGGAGCUGCCACUUUCUUCUUAUCAACCCGGUGUCAUGUUCUGAGCUGCUUUUCAGCCGUCCUAAGCCGUGGUUGAGUUACUUCAGUAAUGUCCCAGAUCUGAGUUGUAAAGACCGUUCUGGUGGCUACUAAUUUAUUUGCUGAUUUCUUGCAAGGGUUCGAAUGAUCAUUUUCCUACGGUCAGAACUUGAGAAGUGUUGAACCUGCCAUUUAAUGGAUUACCAUGUCAGAAGAUGUGGAUAAGAGUUCAGCUGUCAGAAUAUUGCACCCAACAGAACCUAUGGUCACACGAAGAAGCAAUAUGACCCCGCUCCUUCACCCAAGGAUCCAGGCAAGGAAAACAGUAAUGAAGGAGCCAGACUGAUAAUUGUUGCAUAAUUCACAUGGUGCAGAUACCCCGGACAGUCUGAGUCAGUAUGGAUCACCAUGGAUAUUCACCAAAAGGUUCUGCACGGUUUUGGAUGGUGAAUAACAGUGGGAGCAUGUGCCCUCCCUUAUGUGAAGCCUCAACGGAUAGCCUGUCAUGGACAAAAUUCUUUCACGAGAUUCACAGUCAGUCAAGUCUGCGGAUACUAUCAUAUAAGGCCAUACCCCUUAUGCUGGCAACGAUAGGCGACAAUCAAAUAUUUGGUAUGAAGCUGAGAUUCAAGACAGUGGAGCCAGUCAGGAUGGGUCAGAACUUCCUGCGAUAAGUCAGAAUCUGUCAGAAAAACGGAUAUGCCGCAACUCACUGUCUGGAACCUAAAGGACCUAAAUUUAAUGGAGUAACCCAAUGCAAGGAGUCAGCGCUUGGGUGUUCAUCAGGACAAAUCGGAUCACCAAUUCACGGACAGUUGUCAGUACAGACACAACCAUUGGAAGUCACUCUUGGAUUUGUGAGACACGCAGAUAUUUCAGUCAUGGUAAUCUCAGCUAAGUCAGCAGAUAUGAACAUAAUUGGAGCCAGUAUAAGCAGAACACGUGAGUUAAGAUCUGUCAGGAUAUGGAUACAGUGAAGGAAGCAACCCCAGAUCCAGUCAGAUAAGUCAGAUGAAGAAUUCAAUGGGAACCAUCAAUAAAGGAAAAAGGAUACCCGAGUUGGAAACGGUUUCCUUAAGUUAGUAUAUUCAUACUUGUUUCCUGAGCAACCAAAUAUCGAAGACGAGAUUUCUUUAAGGGGGGAAGGUUUGUCACAGCCUGAUUUUUGGCCCUUUCUUUUUCUUUUGUUUUUCUGAGGUUUUUGCUUGAGUUUUCUUUUUCCGUGGCUUUGUGGUCUGGAAACUGAAGAAGAUGACCUCUUCUUUAUUUAAAGAGUGGCUUGUCAUUCUCAAAUCCUUCCCUAGAUCAUAUCAUUUCCAUCCUAGCCCAAUCCCAAUAUUCUUUUUAUUGGGAAUAUUCCUUUUCUAUUAAAGGAAUCAUCCUUUUUGCCCUAGGUUGUGAAGCAACCUAUAUUUCCAUCACUUCUAAAAUUCCCAAAAAAUUCUCAUAAAUUUUUUGGGUCAUAUCUUCUUCAAAUAUGGCAAAACAUUUCAUUUGUCAUGUUUAUCAUCAUUCUCAAAUAAUUCAUUUCCUAUUAUGCCCUAAAUGGCACAUUGUGAAGCAAGUGCUAUUUUCCUUUGCCCAAUUGACCUCAAACUCCUUGGACACCUUUUCCUGUCCAUAUCAUUGCCACAUGACAAAAUGCAACCUCAUUUGCCUAGUAUUAAUUUAAUAAUGAUUUUCCAAAGUUUCUGUCUAGAAAGAAACUUUGUGAAGGAGGUACAAGCUAGACAUAUCCAAAUGAAUUGCACUUUUGCAUGGUCCUUAAUAUCAUCACAUCAUAGCCCUCCACCAAAGUUGAGCUCAUUUAAUGCCUCCAUGUGAGCACAGCUUCAAAUCUUUGAUUCUG